UGUUAAUGAAAAUGAGGAUGAAUCACAGACUACCCUUGCUUUAGUCUGUGGAAACUCUGCUACUAACAAGAGAACCAGUCCCAAACUUCUCUCUCCUCUCCUGCUGCUUGAUUUUUGCUCGUUCAGACUUGUCUCUCUUAUAUUCAUUUGGACACGAAGAUGCUAGCAUUGUUGCUGAGAUCGAUGUAAAUGCUCCCCUUUGUUCCUCAAUCCCAAAUGGUCAGGUCUUCUUAUUCUCAAGACAAUAAAGCAGUUUGUGGAGCCGAGAAAUAGUGUACAAUUUGCAUAUAGAUCUCUGAUGGCCCCUUACUUGCCACAGAGUGGGGCUGGUGGUGGUGGCAGUCCAUACUCUGAAGGCGGUGCUCUCUAUGCCCUAGGCUUGAUUCAUGCAAACCAUGGGGAGGGUAUCAAACAAUUUCUUCGUGAUAGCCUAUGCAGUACCAACGUAGAGGUUAUUCAGCAUGGUGCAUGCUUGGGUCUGGGCUUGGCAGCUCUUGGAACUGCUGAUGAAGAUAUCUAUGACGACGUAAAACUGUGCUUUGUAC